UACCCUUAUGUGUUUUGGCAGAUCUCCAGGGUACCCUGGGAGAAAGUAAUAUCUCCAUUUACAUAUCAAAGCAAAUGAAGGAUCCAAGCUCAGUGGAACUCUAAGGGGAUGUGAAAGUAUUUUAUGAAACAGGAGUUUCAAAAACUUUCCUUCCUAAAGCCAGGCUACCUCCUUCUUUUUAUUUCAUUUCAUUUAUUUUACUUUAAAAUCAUCUUUAAUAUUUGUGGGUACAAUGACUAGCACGCUGUAGUAUCUUACUGAGAAGCAACCAAGAUAAGCCUGAGAAAGAGUUAAAAGAUGCUAUGCAAGAGGUUUUUGAAUUAAAUAACUGUUUUCAGUAAAGAUAUAGGGAAAAGGAGAAGUCAGUUUAAGGAUCUGGGCCCACUCUCACGGUUUUACUGUUUUGGACAUCUACAGAAUUACACACAGAAGUGAUCAACAGAAGUUCUGCAUUUCAUGAAAAAGGACUAAUCCCCCAUAACCAAAAGAGUUUGACUCUUUUCGUCAACAAUAAUCUGGCACCCAAACACGUGGAGCCUCAGAGAAGACUCAGGAACCCGAAGGAGUUGUGGAAACCAGAACUAAGGUACUAGCACGGGCCCACUGAAGCCCCACCGAGUUCGAGCUUCUCCUCCAGUGGAAUGGGAAACCAAAAUCAUGGUAUUCUGAAGGCCAGAGAUAUGAAUCUCCGUCAUUUGGCAUCCCACUGGGAUCGGAUUUGUUUCACUACUAAUGCUCUGCUGCUAAAACCAUACAAGUUGCCUCCCUCUAGGCCCAGGGACUACUGCGGAAGAGGUGGGUGCGUUAAGAUCGUAAAGGCUGGGUUUGAGGAAUAAAAUUAGGACAAAAUCAAACCCUCUAAAUCAAGAACAGGAUACUAAAAAAAAAAUGCCUAAACAGCUGGUAAAACAAGUUUAGUUGCCUUCUAAAGUAUGAUGUGUCACUUUUGCAUCCAACCCAACCAUAAAAAUUUUGUGCUUACUAUAAAAUUAAAGGAAAAUGUUUGCUAACAGGAUAAAAUAACUUUUAACAAAGCCUCCUGGGUAUAAUACACCCAAUUAUAAGUUGUGACGAUAAAUAUAUCACGAG
rnacentral:lncRNA from 10 species